rnacentral:snRNA from 1 species
ACACCUUCGCCUUUUCUUUACAGGGUCAUAGCUAACUCCGCCCAGAAACGUGACCAAGGUCACAUUCAAGAUUAUACUUAUUUUUGUAACCAGUGGACGGCUCCCUGGGCUUGCUCAUAGUCGUCCUCACAGUGUCGUCCGUAUUGCACUACCUCGGACUGACGCGAAUCCUU